UACGUAGGGUGCGAGCGUUGUCCGGAAUUACUGGGCGUAAAGAGCUCGUAGGUGGUUUGUCGCGUUGUCCGUGAAAACUCACAACUCAAUUGUGGGCGUGCGGGCGAUACGGGCAGACUGGAGUACUGCAGGGGAGAGUGGAAUUCCUGGUGUAGCGGUGAAAUGCGCAGAUAUCAGAAAGAACACCCGUGGCGAAGGCGGCUCUCUGGGACGGUACUGACGCUGAGACGCGAAAGCGUGGGGAGCGAACAGGAUAGAUACC
rnacentral:rRNA from 1 species